rnacentral:rRNA from 1 species
GACGAACGCUGGCGGCGUGCCUAAUACAUGCAAGUUGAGCGCUGAAGGUUGGUACUUGUACCGACUGGAUGAGCAGCGAACGGGUGAGUAACGCGUGGGGAAUCUGCCUUUGAGCGGGGGACAACAUUUGGAAACGAAUGCUAAUACCGCAUAAAAACUUUAAACACAAGUUUUAAGUUUGAAAGAUGCAAUUGCAUCACUCAAAGAUGAUCCCGCGUUGUAUUAGCUAGUUGGUGAGGUAAAGGCUCACCAAGGCGAUGAUACAUAGCCGACCUGAGAGGGUGAUCGGCCACAUUGGGACUGAGACACGGCCCCAACUCCUACGGGAGGCAGCAGUAGGGAAUCUUCGGCAAUGGACGAAAGUCUGACCGAGCAACGCCGCGUGAGUGAAGAAGGUUUUCGGAUCGUAAAACUCUGUUGGUAGAGAAGAACGUUGGUGAGAGUGGAAAGCUCAUCAAGUGACGGUAACUACCCAGAAAGGGACGGCUAACUACGUG